GUCCUCGGUAAAAAGUAAACCCCUUUAUUCUCCCCACAACUUCAAUAUUUAAUUCCUCAGCGAUCUCGGGCGGGGGUCACGGCCACCUGCCCUCUUGUUUGAAAUUUGAAAAGGGGGCAAAAAAAUAAAAACUUCAGCUGUCCUUUUCCAGUUCGAUUCCUUAAUCCUCUCUCCAUUUUCUAGGGUUUUGCGAAGGAUGUGCGAGCCUCCGAUCCUCAGACGAACGGUCAAUCUAAUGUCGAUGAGUUCUGGGCGGAAUCGGGGUGCGAGAGAUUUUGAUUCUGUGAGUGGUCCUGUGGGAAUUGUUCGGAAGCAAAUCACACAAUAUGGAAACUUCAAGAAUUCUUGCAGAUUGCAGCUUGAGCAGGAUGUAAGUUGAUCUGUUUGUUUA